UACGAAGGGGGCUAGCGUUGUUCGGAAUUACUGGGCGUAAAGGGCGCGUAGGCGGUGUGUCAAGUCAGGCGUGAAAGCCCCGGGCUCAACCUGGGAACCGCGCUUGAGACUGGCACGCUAGAGUUCGGGAGAGGAUGGUGGAAUUCCCAGUGUAGAGGUGAAAAUUCGUAGAUAUUGGGGAAAGAACACCGGUGGCGAAG
rnacentral:rRNA from 1 species